GGCUCCAUGGUGCAGCGGCUAGCACAUCCAACAACAAAGGGGUGUGAUCGGAGCACCAGCUCUUGUCUUGAUCCCGAUUGUACCCCCAUUCCGCUUCGGUGGCGUGAUUUGUUUGGAAGACCUGCGUUCGAGUCGCAGUGGGACCG